UAACAAUGAGAGACUGAAUAACAGUUUUUCAAUUGGAAUGAGAUAUGAGAAGGGAAAAAAGCGAGAAACAAGUGGAGGGCAAGUCUGGUGCCAGCAGCCGCGGUAAUACCAGCUCCACAAGCGUAUAUUAAAGCUGCUGCAGUUAAAACGCUCGUAGUUGUGGUUUCGUUAGCGGAGCGGUCUGUGUCUCAAAAAGACGCGGGCAGUUCUGCUAAUUACAAUCUAGUGUGUGUGUUAACUCAUUCAUACUAAGUAAACCUUGAAGAAAUAUUGACGCUUAAAAUUUGACUUAAGUCAAAGUUCUUUUUGCAUGGGAUUUUGGAAUAUGAGUGGUGGAGUAAAAUCCGCUGCUAAUGACAUUCGAGGAUGAAAGAGGAAGUUAAUAUUUGUGAGUCAGAGGUGAAAUUCUUGGAUUUCACAAAGAUUAACUAAUGCGAAGGCAUUCUUCAAUUGCUUUCCUGUCAAUCAAGAACGAAAGUAAGGGGAUCGAAGACGAUCAGAUACCGUCGUAGUCUUUACAGUAAAUUUUGCCGACAAAGGAAACGGGAAAGACCUAGAAUGCGCCGGGCAACUGGUACAUUUAAUAUCCUCCUGUUUUCUCCCACGAAAGUUUAAGUCUUUGGGUUCUGGGGGGAGUAUGUUCGCAAGGCCGAAACUUAAAGGAAUUGACGGAAAGGCACCACCAGGCGUGGAGCCUGCGGCUUAAUUUGACCCAACACGGGAAAACUUACCAGGUCCAAACAGCGUGAGGAUUGACAGAUUGAGAGCUCUUUCAUGAUUCGUUGGGUGGUGGUGCAUGGCCGUUCUUAGUUGGUGGUGCGAGCUGUCUGGUUGAUUCCGUUAACGAACGAGACCUUUGUGAGAUAAUAGUUGAAUCAAGAUAUUGCGUCAAGGCUGGAGCUCACGUAUUGGGGAAGGAUCCGUUCCUCCCUUUACUCUGGGUUUCAGUUGCAAUCUAGAUUACAACUUCUUUCUCAGACAAAUGAAAAAAAUUCAUUGGAAGUUGGAGGCAAAAACAGGUCUGUGAUGCCCUUCGAUGUUCUGGGCUGCACGCGCGCUACAAUGACAAAGUCAACAAGUUUUUUCCUUGCUUGAAAGGGCUGGGUAAUCUCUAAAACUUUGUCGUAAUAAGGAUCGCUGAUUGAAACUAUUCGGCGUGAAUCAGGAAUGCCUUGUAAUUAUAAGUCAUCAGCUUAUAGUGAAUACGUCCCUGCCUUUUGUACACACCGCCCGUCGCUCCUACCAAUUGGUAUAAACGGUGAAAAGUUCGGAGACAACUUUCGUU
rnacentral:rRNA from 1 species